CGAGAUGGAAGCUCAUCAGGAGGAAGAGCUGAGCCGUGCAGCGGAGGUUAUGGAAAACCCGUGCAGUUCCUCUCUCCACUCAGGAUCUGAAAAGCCCUAUCAUUUGGUUCCCUGACCUGGAAGGCAGUGUGAGUGACUCCUUGGGUCUCCCAGUUUGAGUCCCCUGCUAAUUCACGGACCAGAACGUAUUUUGGAUUAAUUCUUCAUUUCUCAACACAUGGGAGUUGCUCAACUUACUGCCACCAGCCUGCAAACAACACUGGC
rnacentral:lncRNA from 1 species